AUAGUACUCCCUCCGUUUCAAAUUACUUGUCGUAGAAAUGGAUGUAUCUAGAACUAAAAUACAUCUAGAUACAUUCAUUUCUGCAACGAGUAAUUCGGAACGAAGGAAGUAGCUG
rfam:Triticum urartu cultivar G1812 contig746276, whole genome shotgun sequence.